GACGAACGCUGGCGGCGUGCUUAACACAUGCAAGUCGAACGGAAAGGCCCUGCUUUUGUGGGGUGCUCGAGUGGCGAACGGGUGAGUAACACGUGAGGAACCUGCCCUUGACUUUGGGAUAACUUCAGGAAACUGGGGCUAAUACCGGGUAGGAGCUCCUGCUGCAUGGGGGGGGUUGGAAAGUGUCGGCGGUUGGGGAUGGACUCGCGGCUUAUCAGCUUGUUGGUGGGGUAGUGGCUUACCAAGGCUUUGACGGGUAGCCGGCCUGAGAGGGUGACCGGCCACAUUGGGACUGAGAUACGGCCCAGACUCCUACGGGAGGCAGCAGUGGGGAAUAUUGCACAAUGGGCGGAAGCCUGAUGCAGCAACGCCGCGUGCGGGAUGACGGCCUUCGGGUUGUAAACCGCUUUCGCCUGUGACGAAGCGUGAGUGACGGUAAUGGGUAAAGAAGCACCGGCUAACUACGUG
rnacentral:rRNA from 1 species